rnacentral:tRNA from 1 species
UCCCUGAUGGUCCAGUGGUUUGGACUUGGCCCUUUCACUGAUGAGGCUCAGGUUCAAUCCCUGGUCUGGGAA